CACACCCUGGUGUCUCUCAGCCAGUUUAAGCUGGUGUUAAAGUAGACAAGCAGACUGGUUAAGACCACCAAGACUAAAUGAAGUUGUUUGUCACAGACAUCUUAGGAGGAAGAGAAUACAGAUACCAGACAUUUUCUUUACUAAAAUGGACAGUUUUUUUUUCUUUCUUUUUUUCCUUUUAAAAGAUUUUUUAUAUAGAAGAAAUCUGAAAAUUUGGAGGCAGCACCGGCUUUUUUUAAAUGAAGAAUGGUGUAUAUGAACUGAGUCUGUCUGCAUGAUGCAGCUCUGAUUUCUUGGGUGAAGAAAAUCUACUUUGGGUCCCAAUGCGACUGAAAAGGACUGUGAAAGAACAAUAUGAACCCCAAGAUGAUUCUCUUACUCCUGAUGAUUGAGACCGGGAUAAGUAUACCCUUGUAGGCCAAAGUAAGAUCAUGGCCAGUACCUUUACCGGUACAGUCCAAUUUGUCUACCUAGCCUUUAUUUUUUGCAAAGGAAUGUUUUUUAGAUGUGCCUUAUACACAACAAACUCCUCAAGAGCCAUAGAUGUAUAAGAGUACUAGUUUUCAUUUAAAUUAUACAUUAUGCUUUGUGCAUAAUGUGGAUAAACUUUUUAUACCCUAUAUAUUUUUAAAGAAAAAGAUUAUCGCUAAUUGGGCAGAUCCCAUUAUCCAAAAUAAAGUGAGCUCUAGAGUGUUAUUUAAUGCUUUAAUACAAAUUGCUCAAGGGCCACAACCAAGAUCAGUGAUGUUGAAAAUAAUGUAACUUCAUAUAUAAACAUCACCACUAUCAGGAUAAAGAGAAAUGUGACUAUUCCCAAAAGAUCACGAUAGCCUGUUGGCAAUGCUACUGCUAUAUGCAGCAUGUCUUGGUCAUUCAGACCUCGAAUUUCCUAUAGUUUUUUCACCUUGUCAAUCAAAUGUUUUUCCUCGAAAAGAAUUAGGAAAGGGUUUCGUUUUGUCAUCACCAUUAGAUUAUGCUGUUAUGUAUGGUAAAGGAGAUGCUACAGAGAAAGAAAAUAUUUGGCCAUAUUACCGAUAGAUUUUAAGUAAUGAGGCAGAUGCUAGUACCAGUUUGUCAACCUUUGCACUGUUGACUAGAACCUUUGAUGAGAUAUUUAAUGUUUCUGCCACACUUUCCAAUAUCUCUACUCAUUUGAAUAAUGUGACAUCUAAUAGAGUUAUCGAAAAUAUGACUACUCCUCCAAUAGAAGUUUGUUUCAAUUUUCCACGUUUCUUUAUAUUGGCUGAAUUUCAAUAUAAUACAGAAUGGUUAGAUUCUACAAAUGUCACUUGUUUUUUGAUACAAUGCUGAAAUGAAAUUAAUUUCUUAGCCUUAGUGGUACAUUUACCAACCUUUGUCCCUGUGCCUGUUGAGGCAGAUCCAAAGAAGUUCCCAAUCAUGAGUCUUGUCCGGCAGAAGAGAGAUUUUGGAAUCACAGCCGCCACUGUUACUGCCAUUGCAGUGUCCGCAGCAUCCGCGGUUACUACAGAAAUUGCUAUGGCCUAUCAAGUCAAUAUUGCUGAUACUAUAAGUCAGAUAACAGAAAAAAACGUCUGAGGCAUUGCUUACCCUGCAAAGGGUGGAUUCUCAUAUUGCCUCAGGAUCAUACAAAUGAGUUGUGUGGCAUCAACUUUACAGAUGUGCAUUACUCCUGUUGUGUAUACUAAUUAUUCUUUUAUUAAAAGUACAGGUCUAUCGAAUUAUCUGAAAGGGGAACUGGUCGCAGAAGCUGGAAAGGUUGCAGACGAAGCUACAGAUACAGAUCCUGAACCUUAUUGGAACCAGAGUGGAACCAGUGACCCUUGGAGACUUCACCUCUUGACUUACCUCUGCAUUUUUCUCACUUCAAAGAAUGGGUGGGGGUGGCUCUGUUUAGCGCAGCCCUGUGUUGUGGAUUAGUGCUUAUACUAUGACUGGUUUGCAAACUCAGAUCUCAGCAGAAACGUGACAAGGUGGUAAUUGCUCAAGCACUUGCUGCCAUAGAGCAAGGCACCUCCCCUGAAAUUUGGCUAUCUAUUCUCAAGAAUUAGUUGGCAUUUGAGUUCUCUGCCUUUGCAUUCCACGAAUUUGUGGAUACAUUGCAUUGAGAUGAGAGAAACUCAACGAUCAUUGAUCAACCCGUGUGCAUUGCUGAGGUUUCCUCAUUGCAUGUGAUAGAAUGACCAUGAUUUCCCCACUAAUUUAUUUUUGGCUGGCCUCUUCUGUAGAGUUCACCCUAGGCCAUUUAGCAGUUGUAGUCACACAGCACUGUGGUAUCCAGAGACGGGCAACUUUCCUCGUGCACAGACCAACCUAAGACAAUGGGGCCCGGUGGUGAUAGGGUUACCCGAUAACGGGUAAGGCUGUGACAUUGGAGGAACGACCUAAAACAGGGGCCACAGCAGAUGGACGUAACUACAGAGGCCUAGACCAGCCUCAUUUUUAUUAAAACAUAAAGGGGGAGAUGUGGAGAGCCGCAAUAACAUUUACCAUCUUAAGAUGGCGCUGGCUCCGCAGUGCCUUAUGCCACCUAAACAAAGAACAAGCUAUAUGUGCAUCUGCUAAAAGCAAAAACCCACCAAAAGUCACCAGCCCAUUUCCAGGGCACCGGUCCAUCCCCCAGGGCACUAGCCCAACCCCUGGGGCGUUUAGCCUAUCCCUAGGGUGCAUGAGAUUUGUGGGUGUAGCUACCAGUCCUAGUUUAGACACGUCACCAAAAAGUAUUUAAGCCACACACUUUCUGAGCCUUCUUUGUCUACCUCAAUAUGUUAUGAAGUAAAGUUAACCAUGAAAGAAUCUGGCGUGUCCUGUGUCUGUUUCUGCUGGCGGGAACAGGCUCAGGAUACAGUUCCACCUACUUUUUGUAAGUGACAUCAUUUUUGUUCAUGGCUGAAUAUUCUACUAUCAUAAAUAUGUGUAUUACAUAUUCUUCAUUUAUUAAUAAGAGAAAAGGUAUCUUAGUAAUUUUCUAACUUGUCUAUUAUAACUGCCAUAUUAAAUAUGAAUAUAUUG
rnacentral:lncRNA from 1 species